rnacentral:rRNA from 1 species
GAUGGACGCUGGCGGCGUGCCUAAUACAUGCAAGUCGAGCGAACGGACGAGAAGCUUGCUUCUCUGAUGUUAGCGGCGGACGGGUGAGUAACACGUGGAUAACCUACCUAUAAGACUGGGAUAACUUCGGGAAACCGGAGCUAAUACCGGAUAAUAUUUUGAACCGCAUGGUUCAAAAGUGAAAGACGGUCUUGCUGUCACUUAUAGAUGGAUCCGCGCUGCAUUAGCUAGUUGGUAAGGUAACGGCUUACCAAGGCAACGAUGCAUAGCCGACCUGAGAGGGUGAUCGGCCACACUGGAACUGAGACACGGUCCAGACUCCUACGUGAGGCAGCAGUAGGGAAUCUUCCGCAAUGGGCGAAAGCCUGACGGAGCAACGCCGCGUGAGUGAUGAAGGUCUUCGGAUCGUAAAACUCUGUUAUUAGGGAAGAACAUAUGUGUAAGUAACUGUGCACAUCUUGACGGUACCUAAUCAGAAAGCCACGGCUAACUACGUGCCAGCAGCCGCGGUAAUACGUAGGUGGCAAGCGUUAUCCGGAAUUAUUGGGCGUAAAGCGCGCGUAGGCGGUUUUUUAAGUCUGAUGUGAAAGCCCACGGCUCAACCGUGGAGGGUCAUUGGAAACUGGAAAACUUGAGUGCAGAAGAGGAAAGUGGAAUUCCAUGUGUAGCGGUGAAAUGCGCAGAGAUAUGGAGGAACACCAGUGGGCGAAGGCGACUUUCUGGUCUGUAACUGACGCUGAUGUGCGAAAGCGUGGGGAUCAAACAGGAUUAGAUACCCUGGUAGUCCACGCCGUAAACGAUGAGUGCUAAGUGUUAGGGGGUUUCCGCCCCUUAGUGCUGCAGCUAACGCAUUAAGCACUCCGCCUGGGGAGUACGACCGCAAGGUUGAAACUCAAAGGAAUUGACGGGGACCCGCACAAGCGGUGGAGCAUGUGGUUUAAUUCGAAGCAACGCGAAGAACCUUACCAAAUCUUGACAUCCUUUGACAACUCUAGAGAUAGAGCCUUCCCCUUCGGGGGACAAAGUGACAGGUGGUGCAUGGUUGUCGUCAGCUCGUGUCGUGAGAUGUUGGGUUAAGUCCCGCAACGAGCGCAACCCUUAAGCUUAGUUGCCAUCAUUAAGUUGGGCACUCUAAGUUGACCGCCGGUGACAAACCGGAGGAAGGUGGGGAUGACGUCAAAUCAUCAUGCCCCUUAUGAUUUGGGCUACACACGUGCUACAAUGGACAAUACAAAGGGCAGCGAAACCGCGAGGUCAAGCAAAUCCCAUAAAGUUGUUCUCAGUUCGGAUUGUAGUCUGCAACUCGACUACAUGAAGCUGGAAUCGCUAGUAAUCGUAGAUCAGCAUGCUACGGUGAAUACGUUCCCGGGUCU